AUAGUAGUAGGGAUUCACGGGUUCUGGCUCACUUCCCCGCCUGCUCCACCUGCCCGCCCCUGCCCCCUCCGAGGCGCUGUCUUUGGCGAUCCUGCAAAAAGCUCGCCGCGAAUAAACUUUAUUAAGGCAAUUAGCGCCCCGCGGUUUUAUUCGCGAUCCGCGACUUUUUCUAAUUGGAAUGAAUCUUAUUGCGACACGCUUUCCUAUUGGGUCCGACUCUUUCCUGUAGUAGUAGGGAUUCACGGGUUCUGGCUCACUCCCCCGCCUGCUCCACCUGCCCGCCCCUGCCCCCUCCGAGGCGCUGUCUUUGGCGAUCCUGCAAAAAGCUCGCCGCGAAUAAACUUUGUAUACAAGUAAGUACCUAUUGUGUAGGUAGAAUAUUAUCGGUUGAUUUUAAGCAUAUCUACUAACCACUCCUCCUCGCGUUGCUCGUCGUCGCACCUACCUACAGGCUUUCAUUAAGUAUGAGUGUGUGACUGUUAUUUGAAAUAACAUGGUAUCCAAUGGAUAAUAUUUAUCAGCCUUACUUCAUUCAAUGCAUUACUAGCGACUGUAAUAAUUAAAAGACAUUAUUACUGGUGAAUUAAACAUCCAUCUCCGUGUCUUUACUAAAUAACAUAAAGCGUAAACACUUGUACGCAGUGGCUGAUAGCGUUAUAAACCGAGUUCUAAAAACAUAGUUAUGUAAAGUGAAAUCAAUAAUUAUACGUACCUACAUGCAAACAUUACGUUUUAAUUACCUUCCUAAAGUUUUUUUCACCCACCAACGGUUCGAUGCCAAGCAUUUGUCCCUAAGUAGGUAAUAUUUUUUUGGUAAGCAUCCCAAAACAAUAAAUAACUCCAGAUAUGUCGCGCUUUGGGUGUUCGAUGCUAACCCUAAUCAAUCACUCAAUAUAAGUGCAAAGGUAAUAUAAAAAAUACUGUGGGCUGGCGUCUGAAAUAAAAAAACACUAGCUUGUACAUACGUGUCUGCGCGAAGUGUUAUGGGAAUAUCAAUUUUAUUUGUAUGCCGAUAAAGGAAUCAAUGUGGGAUUUUAAAAAAUGAACAAGUCUCGACCAGUUUUCACCUAACACAAGUGUGUUUGGUUUAAUCUCGAUAAAGAUUGGGAUCGUGUACAAAAAAUACCCCCGAGAACCGCAUUCCGCGUAUAUAAAACGCGCUGCAUGUCAGAUCUCAAACAUAUCAGCCUGGCUCUCUACUGAGUGAGUUUAUAAUUAUUGUGUAUUGUGCUACAUAGAUACCUGCAGCGUCCAGACAUAUGAAUCCAUCAACAAUAAUUGACGACUGCGACUACACCAUGAAAAAUUACUAUUAUCCGAGCCCUAGUGAUGAUGAAAUACUAUCACCAUCACUUCUCCUGAAAAAACCGACUAAACGGAUUCACGAAAAUAUUGAUUCAUAUUUUGAAACUCCCUCGAAGAAAUCUAAGAGCAAAACAUUAUCUUCGACGGUCGGGCGUGCUGCCUGCGGGGGUAUUUCAUAUAUAUCCACCAAUGAAGACGACGGAUCUAAAGCGUCACACCUCAUAAAAAUUGAAAUGUACGAUAUGAAAAAAUUGAAAGAUUUACCACCCAGCGAACAUUGGAAAAAAGCUGAUAUGCGAAUCAAGCUGUAUUGCACCUCUGAUCAUAUUCUUUUCCAUGAUACUAAUCAACUCAUGUUUUCUAUAACAAAACAAAUAGCUACAAAGACAGAUUGCAAAAAAUAUUUUCUCGAGACAUCGAAGUAAAAAUAAUAAUGUACCACGACCCCCGGCGCACAGACCACACACAACUGCUACACUACCGAGACGCCCCUGUAUUCUGUUGCCGCCAACCAUGGAUUAUACACUACACUCUUCCGUGUUCGAUACCGCAUUAAUAGAAGCCCUCUUGGAUUAUGAACGUCGACAAGAGCAAUCCUCGUACUCACCUAUGCUGAGUCCACCCAUGCUGCCUCUGCGAUUCAACCCUUUGAGAAUUGUUUGGAGUGAAGAAUCAGAAGAAAUGUCUCCGUUUACUUUAGAUGUUAAUUUUAGUUAUAGUCCAACCCUUUUUUAAUUAUUUCAUUAAAUUGAUGUAAAUUAGUAAAA